GUGGACGCCAGUCUGCAUGGAGCCGACCUUGAAAUACCACCCUUUAAUGUUUGAUGUUCUAACGUGGACCCGUAAUCCGGGUUGCGGACAGUGUCUGGUGGGUAGUUUGACUGGGGCGGUCUCCUCCUAAAGAGUAACGGAGGAGCACGAAGGUUGGCUAAUCCUGGUCGGACAUCAGGAGGUUAGUGCAAUGGCAUAAGCCAGCUUGACUGCGAGCGUGACGGCGCGAGCAGGUGCGAAAGCAGGUCAUAGUGAUCCGGUGGUUCUGAAUGGAAGGGCCAUCGCUCAACGGAUAAAAGGUACUCCGGGGAUAACAGGCUGAUACCGCCCAAGAGUUCAUAUCGACGGCGGUGUUUGGCACCUCGAUGUCGGCUCAUCACAUCCUGGGGCUGAAGUAGGUCCCAAGGGUAUGGCUGUUCGCCAUUUAAAGUGGUACGCGAGCUGGGUUUAGAACGUCGUGAGACAGUUCGGUCCCUAUCUGCCGUGGGCGCUGGAGAACUGAGGGGGGCUGCUCCUAGU
rnacentral:rRNA from 1 species